UCGUUCCAAUCCGCCCUCACCCACCAUCAGUUCACUCCCAUCCACCAGCUGUAGUAGUGCAACCACCACCAAUCCACUUGCAACCACCUCCGGUUCACUCUCCUCCACCACCAGUCCAAUCACCCCCACCACCAAUCCAUUCUCAUCCACCACCAGUGUACUCACCCCCACCACCUGUCCAUUCUCCUCCACCCCCAGUGCACUCACCCCCACCACCCGUCCAUUCACUUGCACCACCAGUAACACUCACCCCCACCACCUGUCCAUUCUCCUCCACCUUCAGAGUACUCACCCCCACCACCUGUCCAUUCUCCUCCACCCCCAGUGCACUCACCCCCACCACCCGUCCAUUCACCUGCACCACCAGUACACUCACCCCCAGCACCUGUCUACUUUCCUCCACCACCAGUCCACUCUCCUCCUCCACCGGUACACUCACCCCCACCACCAGUCCAUUCGCCUCCACCACCAGUGCACUCACCCCCACCACCUGUCCACUCUCCUCCACCACCCGUUCACUCUCCUCCACCACCAGUCCAUUCUCCUCCUCCACCUGUGCACUCACCCCCACCACCGGUCUACUCACCCCCACCACCUGUACACUCACCCCCACCACCAGUGCACUCGCCACCGCCACCAGCACCAGUCCACUCACCGCCACCUCCAAUCCAAUCAUCACCACCACCGGUACCGAUCCACUCAUCGCCACCUCCAGUCCAAUCACCUCCAAUCCAAUCACCACCACCACCUUCUCCAUCUCUAUCACCUCCUUCUCCCGUUUCCUCACCACCCUCUCCGGUAUAUGACUUCGCAUUGCCACCUACCAUCGGGUUCCAAUACUCAUCUCCACCUCCACCAAUGUUCCCAGGCUACUAAGCGCACUGCGAUAUCAAGCUCCCACCCGGCCCUGCAUGAAAAUUUGUUUAUAAAUAUUUACAAUCUCACAGAAA
rnacentral:lncRNA from 1 species